GCAGCAGCCACGGGAAUACAGAGGGUGCGAGCGUUAAUCGGAAUUACUGGGCGCAAAGGGCGCGUAGGCGGUUAGGAAGGUGUGAUGUGAAAGCCCUGGGCUUAACCUAGGAAGUGCAUCGCAAACCAACUAGCUGGAGUAUAAGAGAGGGUGGCGGAAUUUCCGGUGUAGCGGUGAAAUGCGUAGAGAUCGGAAGGAACGUCAAUGGCGAAGGCAGCCACCUGGCUUAAUACUGACGCUGAGGCGCGAAAGCGUGGGGAGCGAACAGGAUUAGAUACCCGCGUAGUCCCUGUCUCUUAUAC
rnacentral:rRNA from 1 species